GAGAGAGAGAGAGAGUAAGACUUUCCUCUCAUCAUUGCAGGGGCUCAGAAGCUGCCUUAAAAUUGAUGUGACAAUCAAUUUUACACCUACUGUUCAGGGGCUUCUCUGAACUUGCGCAAGAGAUGAGGGGAACAUCUUAUAAAUUUCAUCUCUAGUACUCUGCAGCCUUUGCAUACAGUUCUGGGAGCGUAAUCCAGAUGCUAUAAGCUAGCUUCUCUGCAGCUGUCGAGAAGACAAAAUUGAAGUAGCAGUAGGAAGCAUCAGCAAGACAUGUCUUGAGAACUUUAAAACUUAAAGAACUGUAGUCACUCACAGCAAAUGAUACUCUGGUAAGUUCAGAGCAAACAUGUGGAUUGGAUAGCUGCCACAGAUCCCCACAUGUGGAGGAUAUGUUAGAGAAAAAGUGGAGACCUGUGGCUAACUCAGUUGUGUUACCAGUUGUGUCACCAAACAUUCCACGUGGGGAUGUAUUUACACAAACGUUACUAUAUGCAGUUCCUGUGUUGUGUUCUCCUUGAUGAACUUAUCCACUCUAGUACUAAUGGAACAUAAAAUCAUGUCCUCUUAUUUAAUCCAGACUGUAUAAUGCUGUUUCCAAUUAAAGUGUUAUUAAAUAAGGCGGCUGAGAAGUUCAAUGCAGUAUUUACUAUUGUAGUUGGUUUUACAGAUUGCAAUGCAGCUGUCUGUAUAGAUAGUUUGGGAUUCCAGUUCCUCUGACAGAUUCUGUAAAUUUCAGAAGGAGAAACAGUUUGCAAUGCUACAAGGAUGAUACCAAUCCGCUCUCAGAAUGUGAGACAGGUCCUAUGGCUGCAUAGAGCCUUUCUAGUGUGUGACCUGACUAGGCACAAACAACAACAAAACAGGAUUUCAGCCUUCCUCAUCAACAUGUUCAAAGGGUAAGUACUAAAUUGGUACUACAAAAAUUGGUGUGCACCUACUGAAGACUUGGCUAGAUGACUUUGAAUUUUACCGCUGGCAAUCCUAGACAUGCCUGUUCAUCUGUAAACCCUGCUGAGUUCAAUCAAAUUUACUCCCGGGUAAGUAUGUAUGUAGCUUAAGUGAGCUUUAAUUAUACCCGCAUUUAUGAAACAUCAAACAGUUCUGUUACUGAUUUGGGAAGGCAUGCUUUGUCAAUAACUACUCUAAGUAUCAUCCGAGGAACUUGUAUGACCUUUUGAGUUGGGCUUUAUUUUUCAUCUCGGCAAAAUAUGCAAUAAAAUUCAUUUAGUUCAUUUAAUUAUUCAAUUAUUCAUUUAAUUUGGAACCCAGCAUAGAACAGCAUUGCUGCUUUUUUGCUUUUGGCAGGGAUAUUAUCUUCAGCUGCCAUUUAUGUUCCAGAUGAUAUGGUAAAAUUCCCCUGAGAUAAUUUUUUCUUCCUUCCUUCAAAGCCAAGAAGUUUCCUUAUAACUUCAGAUCUUUUAAUUCAUCAUUCCGUGAGCUUUAAUUUUAACAAUCCUUAAAUUGUUUCUUCCAUGACAAUUUAUGCUCCAUAAGCCAAGGACAUUCUUUUCUAAGAAGGGUAGUGGCUUUAUAUUAUAUUAGCCCUCCAUUGCUGCCAGCAGUCAGACUGUCUCAGGGAAUCCAGUGCAAUUGUGGCUUUCAGUCAAAAGUGGAAAAACCCUUGCAAAUAACAUGGGGUCCCAUUGUAUUCCUAUAAAUAGAUUCCAGAACUCCUACCAGAACAAAUCACUGAUGUGUUAUAACCAGUAUUUGUAUGGCUGGCAGUCUGAAGAUUGGGAUGGGACCAGAGCAAGUAUUAAAAAUGGAAAACAGUUGGGACUUUGAACGAAGUACUGUGGGACACCAAGAAAAGGGGAGGGGGUAGCAACUGGUGAAGUUUCCUACGCUGCCCUUUGGAGAAAAAUCAUGCAAGCAUGUUAAAACUGCUGCUCAUUUUCAAGAUGCUAUACUUGUUUGCAUUAUGUUCAUAUAAGAUGCUCACACUUCUAACACCUUGCCCAUCAGUUUACUCCAAAUGUUGUUUGUUUUGGUUAAUGUUUUCAGGGUUGACAUCAAAGGCCAGCAGGGUUAGGUUCCUGCACUUGCUAUUUUGCUCCAGCUGAGCAUUGUAUUACUUGUUAUAUUGCCCCUUAAUCUUUGCAUUGAGAACUUGUUUUAAUUAUGCCUCUCUAGAUUUGCUAGCAACAGGUCAGGGCUUACUACCCGUGCAUUGAUUGAUUGUCCCUAGGUAGAAUUCCUAUCCCUGCUUAGGCCACCCCCCACCCCACCACCGAAGCACAAAGCCCUUCUUCUGACCUUGUUUAUUGCCAUUUUGAGUUGCAGCCAGGAAAAUCUGGCCUUGCAUUAUCUCUUCACGUAAUCUGUCCCAUCACUGUACUUCAGUCAAUCAGGUUCCACCUUCCAUUCAUCCAUCUUUCCUAUAACACAAUGUCCUAACUCUACCCUCUCAAUUACACCACACAUACUGUCAAUGUUCCUGAGCCAAGGUGCAAUCAGCGGAGUCUGAAGGAAGCCACUUUCGUUGUGCAGAAGAAGCUGCAGUCCUCCAGAAGUUGCUGGAUUACAGCUCCCUCCAUCUUUGACCAGAGCCGCAGGUUCCUCAUCCCUUCUAUUCCACACCUUCUCUCUCAUUCAUACAUUUUCCAUCUGGCCCAGAAAGGGUGAAGAAUGAAUGCUAGUGGCUGUGAGGAGCAGCAGCCAUUUACUUUGAUUUGUAGCAAUGGUGUGUUGCUGUUGUUUUGUCGUUUAGUCGUGUCCGACUCUUCGUGACCCCAUGGACCAGAGCACGCCAGGCACUCCUGUCUUCCACUGCCUCCCGCAGUUUGGUCAAACUCAUGCUGGUAGCUUUGAAAACACUAUCCAACCACCUCGUCCUCUGUCGUCCCCUUCUCCUUGUGCCCUCCAUCUUUCCCAACAUCAGCGUCUUUUCCAGGGAGACUUCUCUUCUCAUGAGGUGGCCAAAGUACUGGAGCCUCAGCUUCAUGAUCUGUCCUUCCAGUGAGCACUCAGGGCUGAUUUCCUUAAGAAUGGAAAGUUCUUGUCUUCUUGCAGUCCAUGGGACUCUCAAGAGUCUCCUCCAGCACCAUAAUUCAAAAGCACAAAUUCUUCGGCGAUCAGCCUUCUUUAUGGUCCAGCUCUCACUUCCAUACAUACUACUGGGAAAACCAUAGCUUUUACUAUACGGACCUUAGCAAUGGUGUAUGUGUGGGUAAUUGCUAGGGAGAAGAGCGAGGAGUGAUCCUUUAAUAAAGGAGGGGGCCCAAGACUGAUGUAUUGCUCCAAGGUCUCCCAAACAUGGGACCUGCACUGGACUUUUCAACUGAAGUAACUGUUGCGUUGGUUUUCAAUCAUGCUGCAAUAGUAAUGUAUGAUAAGCAGCAUUUAUGUAGCACUGUAGAUGGGCAACUUCACAUACGACAGUCCUGCAAAGUAUUACAACCCGCUAUUGCAGAUUGGGAUCAAAAGAGAGUGACUUACCUAGACAUACAAUGGUUUGCAAGGGUGCCAACUUCAAUAAAAUAUUGCGGUUGGCCAGGUAAGCCCCACCCUGCAUAAUCAAUCCCACAACAUGGCACAAACACACCAUUUGAAUGGCAAUGCAUAUCAACUGGGGGCGCAGGCCCCUCCAAUAUUACAUUGCUGGGGCCCGAAGGGACCUCAGCCCCUAGGAGUUGGCUCCUAUGGUGGUUUGAUAGUUGAAACAAUUUUUAACUGCAGCUUUGCACUUCAUAGCUCCCUUCCUCUGCCACUGUAUUAUUUGCUUUAUGAAUAAUACUUCAUCUUUUAUUAUUAAAGGCCUUAUUGUUUUGCCUAAAGCAUAUUCAUUAUGUACGCCAUUUUAUGGUUCCCUGGAAGGUUCAUACUGUUUGGUAAUCAGGAGCUGUAUUUCUCUUUCCAGUACCAUGCAGUCAAAUCCCACCCCCACCCCCACCCCCCGCCUUGUAAACAUUUUGCUGUGGGAGAUGGGAACAGGAAGAUGCAACAGCAAGGAUAUUUUUCUGCUAAAUAUAACUUGCAGCUAUCUUCUCUUGCAGCGUGCAAACUAUGCAAACAAAGAGAACCCGUGGGCAAUCAGGGAACAAGGGCUCAUCACCAUGAAAACGUUCUCAUUGAACUUAUAUAAAUAAAUUGUUCUGCCUUGAUUAUUUGAAUUUGCAUUAACUCUUUCAAGUGCCUGUUCUGACUGUGUUCAAGAUAGGAUUCCCUCCAUACAUUACAUACAUUACAGUGCAUUACAAGUCAUACAGUACAAUCUCAGGGCAGACUUAAUGAAGCAUGAGAAACAUCCCACUCUCAACAAACAUAGUGCAAUUUCAUAAUGGCCUAUAGAUGGGAGUGCAUAAGUGCUCUGUAUCAUCAGGAUUGACUCAGUCAGGCUGAUUCUUUGGUCACAACCCUGCCUUCAACUGAAUAUGGAUUGUAUCCAACUAUGUUUUAUUCAUAGUAGGCCCAGGGCUUUUUUUCAGCUGGAGCUUCCCAGAACUCAGUUCUGGCACCUCUCAGGUGGGUGCCAUUGCAUUUAUAAGAGAACAAGGGAGGUGUUCAUGGUGAGUUCCAGAACCCCUUUUUCUAAAAGAAAUAGCAGUGAGUAGACCCAUUGAAAUUGAUGGAUUCAGUCAUGUCCAUUAAUUUAAUAGGGUCUGCUUUGAGUUUGAUGAAUGUUGGUUACAACUCUAUACCUCUGAAUUGGUUCUGUUGGACCAGCCUUUUUAAUGCUGUGAACCUCAAGUUGGAUUUACCAACCCUGAGCCUCAGAUACGAUUUACAACUAACAUGGGGCUCAAUGACAGUUGUUAUAAUUCAGCAGUAAACAGCAGGUUUUCCCAGGGAAGGUGGCGGGUCAAAAGAAAAACUUCUUGGACCUGUGCCUAGAAAGCGUGGAAGAAAUAGAAGAAAACAGGACAAGUGAAAGUCAUAAUUUCCUAGUUCCCUAAUUUUCUGUUCCAAUUAGCUUUGGACCUGAUGUAAGUUCAGUACUGCAAUUCCCUUGUAUCAGUGUAUUUAGUUAUUUUGUAGGUUUAUGUACUUGAGCCCUAGGUUCAACAAAAGCCUGGGCUUUUCUUGAAAACUUAAUAGCAACUUGAUCUGCUAAAAUCAGGGGAAGUACAGCAUCAGAGCCACAAUAGUAAUUUACAAAUCUCAGAUUACAAAAAUAACAUUUGCUUUCUUUUUAUUUAUAUUUUUGUAUAUAAGCUGUGAUUACAGUACUUUGUAAUUAAUGUGUACCCUGUAGCCAUGAGAUUUUAAAUAUGCUAAAUAAGGCUGAAUAUACCACUGUUUAUUCUGAGUGUUUCUACUGCAAACUUUAAGAAAAAAACUUUAUCUAUCACAGGAUUCAAAAAUAGAUUCAUGAAAACUGCUAACUCUGCCUGUUAGUGAUUCCAGUGAAAUUAUAAUGCCAGUAAAAACAGGACUGGAAAAUUUAAAUCAUUCUAUGCUGAUUAGCAGUAGUAGAUAGAUC